rnacentral:lncRNA from 1 species
CAGCGGCUGAAAAUUCAACUGACCUAUGAGCAGUAGGCGGUCAAGGAUGCAGAAGCAGAGUCUGAAGUUCUAAGGAAGAGGCUUCAAAAAUUGAAGGACGAAAGUCGAUGGUUUUGUAGCGAAAAUUUAGUGCAGGGGCAAAAUGGUAAUUUUAAAACUUUUUCAAAAUUACUAUUUUACAGCAGAAGUAUUAAUUAAUCUCAUUAAUAAAUACUAAUUAACCCUACACUAGGAUCUAAAUAUGAUACAACAGCAUGCAUUUAAAUUUGAAAUUCAAAUUUGAAUCAGUAAACCUUUUACAGUACUGUGUUCAGAACACAUCACCUUUUGCGGGUAGUUGAUCACCAUAAUCUGAUCACCGUCGGAGGGCUCUGAUCAUCACAUCACAGCUACACAAAUAUUUGACCUCUGUGGAUCGUCCACACGAAGCUCCCUUCUGAUCAGCUCCUCACGAAUGCUAGUUCGUGAUUUCACCCUUUUGAUGGUAGAUGUUGAUCGAACUCCUUCGAUCGAUGUGUACCGACUUCUCGGAUACUCUGGAUCAUCUGCACAGUUGCUUGAGAGGCUGAUGGAUCUCUUCCUAAAAUUUGGUGGACUCACGACACUCGUGGCACACCAAUCUCACUUCCCGAACCCUAGGUAGAAACCCUAGGGUACACACCAAAAACCCUGCGUCCAAUUUUCUCUCUUUUCUUUCUUUUUCUCUCGAAAGGUUUUGGACCUUCACCUCGCACACAAGCCUUCCUCACGCCCCA